rnacentral:rRNA from 1 species
UACAGAGGGUGCAAGCGUUGUUCGGAAUUAUUGGGCGUAAAGGGCGCGUAGGCGGUGCGGUAAGUCUGUAGUGAAAUCUCUGGGCUCAACUCAGAGUCUGCUGCAGAAACUGCCGUGCUUGAGUGUGGGAGAGGUGAGUGGAAUUCCCGGUGUAGCGGUGAAAUGUGUAGAGAUCGGGAGGAACACCGGUGGCGAAGGCGGGUCUCUGGGCAUCUCCUGACGCUGAGGCGCGAAAGCGUGGGGAGCAAACGGG